UGAAUAUAAAAUCAUUUCGCUGUGAAGUGAAUAUACAGCAACUUGUUUAAUUUGAGCUCGAUAUGAAGAUUAUAAAGUUGAUAACCAUCUUUGCGAUGAUUGCAGCAUUGAUGGCAACCGUAGUUACCGGAGAAGCUAUCGACCCCAAAGCAAUCCAAUCGCUGGCAGGUGGUGGGCUAGGUUAAACAUGAAUAAAUGCAAAAUUGUUAUUCCAAAAUGAAUGUCUCGGAUAAAAUGUUAAUCAUACAAAUAAGAAAUUUAAUUAAUAUUUAUAUAUAAUUUCGCCCUUAAAGUCCUCCCCUUUUCUGCUUUCUUAAAUGUAAUUUAUCUCGAACGAACGAGCCAGAGAGAGGGAGAGGGAGAGAAA